rnacentral:misc_RNA from 1 species
GAUGAAGAACGCAGCGAAAUGCGAUAAGUAAUGUGAAUUGCAGAGUUCAGUGAAUCAUCGAAUCUUUGAACGCACAUUGCGCCCGCCAGUAUUCUGGCGGGCAUGCCUGUCCGAGCGUCAUUUCAACCCUCGAACCCCUCCGGGGGGUCGGCGUUGGGGAUCGGCCCUGCCUCUUGGCGGUGGCCGUCUCCGAAAUACAGUGGCGGUCUCGCCGCAGCCUCUCCUGCGCAGUAGUUUGCACACUCGCAUCGGGAGCGCGGCGCGUCCACAGCCGUUAAACACCCAACUUCUGAAAUGUUGACCUCGGAUCAGGUAGGAAUACCCGCUGAACUUAAGCAUAUCAAUAAGCGGAGGA